GAUGAAGAACGUAGCGAAAUGCGAUAAGUAGUGUGAAUUGCAGAAUUCAGUGAAUCAUCGAACCUUUGAACGCACAUUGCGCCCGCCAGUAUUCUGGCGGGCAUGCCUGUCCGAGCGUCAUUUCAACCCUCGAACCCCUCCGGGGGGUCGGCGUUGGGGAUCGGCCCUUUCACCGGGUGCCGGCCCCUAAAUACAGUGGCGGUCUCGCCGCAGCCUCUCAUGCGCAGUAGUUUGCACACUCGCACCGGGAGCGCGGCGCGUCCUCGUCCGUAAAACACCCCAAACUUCUGAAAUGUUGACCUCGGAUCAGGUAGGAAUACCCGCUGAACUUAAGCAUAUCAAUAAGCGGAGGA
rnacentral:misc_RNA from 1 species